rnacentral:rRNA from 1 species
CUAACAAGGAUUCCCCUAGUAACUGCGAGUGAAGCGGGAAAAGCUCAAAUUUAAAAUCUGGUGGUCUUUUGGCCGUCCGAGUUGUAAUUUAGAGAAGCGUCUUCCGCGCUGGACCGUACACAAGUCUCCUGGAACGGAGCGUCAUAGAGGGUGAGAAUCCCGUCUUUGGUACGGACCCCCAGGGCUUCUGUGAUGCGCUCUCGAAGAGUCGAGUUGUUUGGGAAUGCAGCUCAAAAUGGGUGGUGAACUCCAUCUAAAGCUAAGUAUUGGCGAGAGACCGAUAGCGAACAAGUACCGUGAGGGAAAGAUGGAAAGCACUUUGGAAAGAGAGUGAAACAGUACGUGAAAUUGAUGAAAGGGAAACGCUU